CUUGAUGUGGCAGACUAUUGCAUUAGAUUUAAGCUCUAAAUAUAGGAUUUCACCCUCUUCAACA
rnacentral:tRNA from 1 species